GGAGCUUGUUGUUUGUGUCUCUGUGUGAAGAAACUACAGAUGAUGGAAGAACCUAAAGAACAGCCAGUCAAAGCAGCUCCAUCAGCAGCUACAUUCACCCUGGAGAGAAACUAGUGAGGGAGACCAUCAGGACCAAGCUGGGUUUCCUGGGUCCAGAGGUUUGGAGAAACUUCUUCCUUUUCUUUCAUCACAGCUGUCCUGUGCCAGAAGUUCUGUUGACCCACUGAAAGAGGCAUCAUUUAAGAAACACCAGGAAGACUGAAGCCCAUCGCAUUGAUCAAGCAGGACUCAUGAUCUUCACCAGCAGCUCCCUCACAGGGAAAUCUUCAGCACUCCUCUGUAGGCCCGCCCCAGGAGAUGGAUAAACCCAGCAUUUCAUGAACACUGUG
ensembl:lncRNA